rnacentral:piRNA from 1 species
GUAAACUGGGCAGUGGUGGCACA